GAUCAUGGCUCAGAUUGAACGCUGGCGGCAGGCCUAACACAUGCAAGUCGAACGGUACAGGAAGAAGCUUGCUUCUUUGCUGACGAGUGGCGGACGGGUGAGUAAUGUCUGGGAAACUGCCUGAUGGAGGGGAUAACUACUGGAAACGGUAGCUAAUACCGCAUAACGUCGCAAGACCAAAGAGGGGACCUUCGGGCCUCUUGCCAUCGGAUGUCGCCCAGAGUGGGAUUAGCUAGUAGGUGGGUAACGGCUCACCUAGGCGACGAUCCCUAGCUGGUCUGAGAGGAUGACCAGCCACACUGGAACUGAGACACGGUCCAGACUCCUACGGGAGGCAGCAGUGGGAAUAUUGCACAAUGGGCGCAAGCCUGAUGCAGCCAUGCCGCGUGUAUGAAGAAGGCCUCGGUUGUAAAGUACUUUCAGCGGGGAGGAAGGGAGUAAAGUUAAUACCUUUGCUCAUUGACGUUACCCGCAGAAGAAGCACCGGCUAACUCCGUG
rnacentral:rRNA from 1 species